AGAGGGGGCAAGCGUUGUUCGGAAUUACUGGGCGUAAAGGGCGCGUAGGCGGCCUGCUAAGUCGAACGUGAAAUCCCUGGGCUCAACCCAGGAACUGCGUCCGAUACUGGUUGGCUUGAAUCCGGGAGAGGGAUGUGGAAUUCCAGGUGUAGCGGUGAAAUGCGUAGAUAUCUGGAGGAACACCGGUGGCGAAGGCGACAUCCUGGACCGGUAUUGACGCUGAGGCGCGAAAGCCAGGGGAGCAAACGGGAUUAGAUACCCCGGUAGUCCUGGCCCUAAACGAUGAAUGCUUGGUGUGGUGGGUAUCGAUCCCUACCGUGCCGAAGCUAACGCAUUAAGCAUUCCGCCUGGGGAGUACGGUCGCAAGGCUGAA
rnacentral:rRNA from 1 species